rnacentral:rRNA from 1 species
GGUAUGGGAUGAGCUUGCGUCCGAUUAGCUAGUUGGCGGGGCAACGGCCCACCAAGGCGACGAUCGGUAGCCGGCCUGAGAGGGUGAUCGGCCACAUUGGGACUGAGAUACGGCCCAGACUCCUACGGGAGGCAGCAGUAGGGAAUAUUGCACAAUGGGGGAAACCCUGAUGCAGCAACGCCACGUGUGGGAAGAAGCAUUUCGGUGUGUAAACCACUGUCAUGAGGGAAUAAGGCCCGCCUCCGGACGGGAUUGAAUGUACCUUGAGAGGAAGCACCGGCAAACUUCGUGCCAGCAGCCGCGGUAAUACGAGGGGUGCGAGCGUUGUUCGGAAUUACUGGGCGUAAAGGGAGCGUAGGCGGAGAUUCAAGCGGAUUGUACAAUCCCGGGGCCCAACCCCGGCUCUGCAGUCCGAACUGGAUCUCUUGGAUAGUUCAGGGGCAGGC